rnacentral:sRNA from 1 species
AGCAAGCCCAACCAACGCCACACACGUAUCGGCACCGCCUUCGGGGUGCCGCGUCCGUUUCCGCCACUUACCAGGAAACGCCGCGGUCGAAGCCGGGGAUACGUGGAGGUCCCAAC